rnacentral:sRNA from 1 species
UUAUUUCUCCUUGGUGAAAUCGUUUAAUCCCAAUAAAUCCGUUUAAGCCACUUGCAUUUGACCAACUUAAUUGUCAAGACAUAAAUAUGUACACAUACGUAUUUAAGAGCCGGAGCCAUAAACGCGCAGCCCCCCCAUGUUCAAUAUGUUCAAUCUGGCUGGAUCGGAACGAU